UCGGAGUCUGCAACUCGACUCCGUGAAGCUGGAUUCGCUAGUAAUCGCGCAUCAGCCAUGGCGCGGUGAAUACGUUCCCGGGCCUUGUACACACCGCCCGUCAAGCCAUGGGAGCCGGGGGUACCUGAAGUCCGUAACCGCGAGGAUCGGCCUAGGGUAAAACUGGUGACUGGGGCUAAGUCGUAACAAGGUAUC
rnacentral:rRNA from 1 species